GGAAAUAAUAACAAAAGACUCGACAAACUUAACUAGACUAUGACAGACUCUAGCAUCAACUAAAUGACUGAAUACUAUUGUACAGGACUAGAAAGUAAAACAUGAACAAUAGACUCAAAAACAUAAAAAAGCUCCUCAGGCAGCUCCUGAAUGUAGUGGUCCUGGGGUAUCUGUUAUGUUCAAACUCUGGUAAGUAGAUCCACACCUGUAUGAGAAAACUUAAACCAAUACUAUGUGAGACAAUAACAUUCCCUGCUAGACACAUGCAAGACAUGGUUGUGACUAUUUUUUCUAAAAUUAACCUAUGUGGCAAAAAGUAACUAAAACUACAAGAUUUGGCUAAGACCUCACGAAGCCAAGAACCUCAACUCACUAGAAGACCAGACCCUAUGUGGGUUGCCUACGUAUCACGCCCCGAAAGACGAGAAUCAUGUAUGUGUAGUUCGGGCAGAUUGGAUACAGGCGAGAAUUAAAAAAAACAACUAAUUUAUAGACAAUAUGUUUUUUAUCUUUUUUUUUUGGAAAAAAGAUGAAACAUGUNNNNNNNNNNNNNNNNNNNNNNNNNGAAAUGAAUGAAAAGUGACAAAUCUAUUUUUUUUUGAAUUUUUCACGUUUUUUCUUUUUCUUAACAAAAAUGUGAAAGAAAACAUAACUGGGCCCUAUUUGCUUUAUUUUUACACUUCACUCUUUCUUUUUUUUUUCUUUUUUUUUCAUUUGCCCUCAACUAUCAUUGGUCUGCCAAAUGACCCUUUUACCUUUGAAGAUUGCAACAUGUAGCACAUAGGAUGCAUCAGGAUGGUCUUUUAAUUUUGGGUACACCUGUCCUAGACGGACCCAACCCUUGUGUUGAGUGCCCAAAGUCAAAUGCACAUGAUGCAAACAAACGUGCCUACUAGAGAUCCGGCAUGAGGUUAUGUUAUUCUAAGUUUAAACCUGGGGUUGUGUUCUUAACCUGGCUUACCCGAGCGGACAACUCAAGCCGAAGAGGGGGCAACGUACCGGGAGCACUAAAGUCUACCCAGCCUUGUUACUAGCCCAACCUCGUUCUAUUUGAUAUAACUUCUACAGAAAAAGCGGGUCACGCGAACGUGUGCACUAUUUUCAGAAGACUCAGAGGGGGGCGUAAGAGGAUAGUUAUAUACAAUUCAAAUAAUAUCAAAGCGGUAAAUAGACAGCAAUUAGCACAAAGGUUCACAAAAUACAGUAAUAUUAACAAUAAAUAAAGCCAAGUACAAUCACAAAAACAAGCUCGAAUUCUUGAACCCUGAACCAGAGAUUUUGGGUUCUUCUCCCAGUAGAGUCGCCAGAGCUGUCACACCUCCUUUUUACUACCCCGAAAGAGAUAUAAGGGAGUUUUUUCAAUUUAAAUGACAAUAGAAACGAGAUUAUUUAUAUUAAAAUCAGAGUCGCCACUUGGUAUAAUUUAUGGUGUCUCAAGUCACCGGUUUAAAUUCCGAAUCGAGGAAGUUGACUCUAUUUACGGUUUGCGAACACAGAAAUCCGUGUAAGGAAUUUUGUUAACCCGGGAGAAGGUGUUAGGCAUUCUCGAGUUCCUUGGUUCUAGCACGGUCGCUUUGAUCAUACUUGGCUUAUAAAAAUUGUCAAAUUACUCAUUUAGAACCUAUGUGCAUUUGCCUCUUUUAAUUAAUAAAUUACCUUGAAACGGGUCACGCGUACGUGUACCCAAUUGUUUGUCGCGUCAAAAAUCAUGUCACAUGAACGUGUCCACAAUUAAUAACGCUUUAUUAUUAUUAAGAAAUAUUUGGUCCAAGUUGCACGAACGCAUACCCCGAUUUUAUUUUUAAGAUCGUAAUCAUGUAACUCGAACGUGUAGAAAACCGCGAUAGUAUAUUAAACGUGCCUCAAGCAAACUACGAAUAUUAUUAUUCUUCCUAAACUUUGAGAUUAAUGUGAAGGCCAUGGGUUAUGGAAUUUGUUGUAGAAGAAAUUACGGGCUGACUUGUUGCCUUAUUAUCAUUUUUGGGCCAGCUUUGCAUUUAAUGAAAAACGACCAGCUUGGCUCUUAUAAAUUGGGUCCGGCAGAACAACUUCUUUGGCCAUGGAUUUUGGAGACUAAAUUUUGCUUGUUAAAUUAACCCAAAUACUAACUAAGAGAAACAUACGGGUGAGAACAAUUGAAACAAAAUAAUUUAAAAUGCUAAAUAAUCAUCUGAAAAGAAUGAAGCAAAUGAAAAAAAGGAUGCCAUAGCUAAAUCUCAUUAUCCUGUAUCAGUAAAAGCGUAGACCCCAAAUAUGCUCAAUAAACCUUGUAUUAACUCAUACGACCCAUUUUUAAUACCAUUCUCAAUGCCAAACCUUAUAGACCUUUAAUAACUCAAACCCCAUAACUUUUACUUUCAAGUGAGACCCAAUUCACGAUUUAAAAUUACCAACACAAAUAUUGCAUGUUCUAGACAAAUUGAUAUGCCUAAUGAGAACAAUUAAGAAUAACCAAAGCAUGGGUUGUGGAUUUCAACUUGGAGCACAUGGAAGCAAUUGCCAAAAUCAGCAAGGAACCCAGUAAUCCAACCAAAUUCACAUAAAAUCAGAGGAACACUAGCAGAAGACAAUUUCACACAAAUGAAAGAGAAUACUACAAAAAAAUGGGAAAUAUGUCUUCACAUAAGCAGUAACAUUGAAAAGUUAGAGAGAACCUCAAUUGAUAUUGUUAAACACCAAAAAUCCAAGAGGAUGAAAAAUCUCAGACCGGCUUCUAACACGACAACCUCGACAUGGGCAGCAAUCGAACUCGUCUGAACUCAAGCUGGACAGGAACACGACAGAAACUUUUCUUUGUCAAGCCCUUUUUUCGAAAGAUAUUAUCGACUACAACAACUGAAAACGAAACUCGACUACUUUCAAACUGCUCUGUUUUCAGAUAUGUUUUUUAUUCAUUUUUCAUCCUCCUCUGUGCGUUUUCGUGUGUGUCUUUGGGUUGUGAGAUGAGAGGGUUGGGGUGUCAAGAUGAAGAAGAGGUCAUCCGUAGCGGCUGUUCCAGAGAUCGAGCCGGGUGAUCGCUGAUUUCCGGCGAAGAUGGUGAGCUGAGCUUUUUUGAGUUCGGGUGUUUUUCGCUGGGAGAUGUGGUUCUUGGAGUGGAGGUCCGGCAAUUUGGUGGAGGUAUACGAUGGUUCCGAGUUUGCUGGUUCUCUGCUAGUGUUGAAGAAGAUGAAGAACGAGGGGUUGUUUGGGUAUCAAGCAGUGAAUUUUUGUGUCUUGAACAGAGGGUCCUUUGGGGUGGGGUCUAUGAAGAAGACGAGGUCAAGGGGUGGGGUUUGCUUGUACUGCGGCAGAUUUAGUCUUUUAGGCUAUUUUUCAACUCUUAGGUCCCUAGGGUCUAGGAAAUUAGGCUUCUUUUUUGUUUAUAUAGAAAGAUAUUUUAGGUUAAGGGGGUAUGAGUUUCGUAUUAUUGGGCCUUAAAAUUGGGCCAAAAACUAAAAAAAU
rnacentral:lncRNA from 1 species